rnacentral:lncRNA from 1 species
AAAGGAUUAAAGUUUGCAUUUUGGGAGAUCCACUGGUACUUCUGUGUCUUAGGUUAUGACUGGAGAGCUGUCACAGUGGGGAGAUGCAAUUUCAAAGUUGCUUUUUUUGAACUGGGGCUUUUGGGGCUUUUUGGGUGGGUUGUUUUUCAAGUUCCCCCUCGCCCUCCUCCUUAAAUCAUGUAUCUCAAGGAAAAUUAGUUAAAAAUAUGUUCAUUACAUGCAGCUGUUUCUCCCCUGCUUGUUUCCUUUUUGAGCUUUGUGUGCUUUUUUUUUUUUGGACUCUUGUUUUUUAAAGAUUCUGCCUUGCUAAGAAGUGGGUGAUGGAUGUAAAAAGACCAUUUCAGUGCUGCUUGGGGAGGGGACGGAAAAGCAGAUUAGAAAACCCACUUUCCCUGGACAUGGCUGGAUUUCAGUGUGUCAUGGGACAUCCUCUGUGUAUCCCAGAAAACUGACCUCUGCAGGUUUAAAACUGGAUCUUUCAUUUUUUGGGUUACAUUUGUAGCCUUGCCUUCUGCAAAAUAAACAGGAAUGAAGAGAAAAGACUCAUCAUCUAUGGUACUUCCAAAUGGGGGCAGAAAAUUAAUUUGAAUGUCUGGAGGAUUUUUUUCCCCUCUGUUAUGAUUAUAUAUUAUUUAUCAGUUUUGUAGGUUCAGUCAUAAUUCAGUCAAUCAUAACAGCCAAACCAGCACCAGUCUUUCCUAGAGGGAGGUGUGGGAGGGUGUGGAAAAUAAGUAUUUAAAAUAUAUAUCACAGCAGAUUUGGCCCUUCAGCUGAUGCCCCUUGGCUGGCAUGCAGGAUUUGGAACUGUUGCACGGGUGGGAGACAGAGUAAAUCAACUGUGUCCCCCACUGAUAACUGGGCAUGGGGCUAGUGAGAGGGCUGUGACCAAGGGCUAACUCUCACGACUGUGGCUCUUUGCAGAUUUUCUUCAUUUUGUGUCCCGCCCACCAUCACCCAGCUGCUGCCUAGGCCAGCAGUGUUUUACAAGCAGCCCAGCGUACGGCGCGUACUGGAGAUGGAACAACUGGCUCGCGGGCAAGGCAGAGAUCCAAGCGUGCAGGGUGGCUCGAGGAUGCUGUGCCUGGCUGCGCAGGGACCCGUGUCCCCAUGUCCCUCAGGCGCCGUGGGCAGCUUCCUCCUUCCCUGGAGCGGGCAGGAAUGGACUUCAGAGCUUCUCUCUCCUCAGAUGCUUCUCCUGGCUAGGUCCAGUGCCAUCCGAAAAUCACAGUGAAGGAUUUACCUGUUUUUCACUGGUGAGCAGUCCCGCAUGUUUGUUGGCUUUUUUUUUAAUAAAUCUGCAGGUUCUGCCAGCACAAGGCACCAUUCAGAAGAGUAUUUCAGCCACCUCCAGCCUCCCUGGCGCCCUUUUCCUGGCUGCACUACCUGAUUUUUUUUUAGGGUUACUUUUUUUUUUUUUUUAAUAUUGUGUGAGAAAAAUGGCCCCCAGCUCCUCACCCCUCUAUCCUGGACGGUCAGCUCCUCACCACCCUCAUCAGAUGGUGGUCUGGAUGCCAGCACUGCCCCAGGCCAGUCCACUUUCUUCAGGGCAACACUGCUGCAGACACUU